ACCGCACAGUAUACGCUUAUCAUGUGUCAGUGUGUCGCGAUACGAUUUUGUACAUGAUUGAAUAUUAUUAAAAACCAUUUAUCUUUUCUAGACUUAACUUAAUUAUAUUAUGUUUGGUACGGUACGCGCAAGAAAUCACAUUGAUGCAUUCGAGAAAACGGAAUAAUAUUAUAAUAGGUUACCACGAGCGUCGAAUCACGUGAGUCCCGAAGCUAUUACAAAACGUCGGCGGCACAUCACUCGGUGACAAAGUAAUAGGGCUUUAAUGGUAUAAACAUAAAUUAAAUACACAUCCAUUUAUAUUCAGUAUACAAAUUAAUUAUGAUGGACUCUGGAGUACAUAUACAUAUUGUAAAUCUUGUUGAUCAUGAAUUAGCGAUUCCGCCACAAGCUUAUCUUUUCAAAUCAAAAAAUCUUAACGAAUUUAAAACCAAGAAAUCAAGAUAUACCUUUAGGAAAAAAACUAUAAAUACACACACAAAAUGCAAUUUGACGCCAUUGCAAAAUAACAUUUUCGAAAAACGUGGACCAUAACAUUCAUAACUAAGAAAAAUGUCGCAAAAAUUCUCUCGUAAAAACUAUGUCGAUAACGAAAACUUAAGUCAAAUAAUGAGUCAAAAUGAAGCGACAUUUACGAGCAAAAAAAUUGUAAAUAAUCCAGACAGCAGCAGUGUUUAUCAAAUCAUACUGCAAAAAGUAUACCAAACACAUUAAGUUGGUAAAUAAUUACUUACUUGAUAAGAGCAAUCUUACAUUCAAAUUUAAUUCAUUUAGAAGUAUAAUAAAUAAAUUAAUAAAAGAAUUAUAAAUAUUACAA